rnacentral:rRNA from 1 species
UACAGAGGGGGCAAGCGUUGCUCGGAAUUACUGGGCGUAAAGGGCGCGUAGGCGGGAUGGCAAGUCGGUCGUGAAAUCCCUCGGCUCAACCGAGGAACGUCGAUCGAUACUGCUGUUCUUGAGGAUUGCAGAGGAGACUGGAAUUCCCGGUGUAGCGGUGAAAUGUGUAGAGAUCGGGAGGAACACCGGUGGCGAAGGCGGGUCUCUGGGCAAUUCCUGACGCUGAGGCGCGGAAGCGUGGGGAGCAAACGGG